UGGGGUAUAGCUUAAUACUAGAGCGCGUGCUUAGUGUGCACGAAGCCCUGGGUUCACUCCUAGCACUGCAA
rnacentral:tRNA from 1 species